GUGUAGGAGGGGGAGCGGCCCCCAGGUUUGCUGGGCGUGAAGGAAUGCGGCCGGCACCGCCCAGUCAAUCACCGGGAGAGCGACUGAUUGUAAUCAGGCUUUGAGUUAUCUGCUGCGGUUAAUUUUUGCCUUUAAUUUCUGCGCCAACCGUCGUCGUUUCCCCCGCCCCCCUGCAGGGUGCAUACCUUGCUCCAGUUCCAGCCGGUUGCCGUUUGGUACUGUUUGUGGUACCUCAGGGCACUGCGAAAGGCUCGCUCCACCGCCCGCCCUGAUCUAGGCGGCUUCGUCAAGAUUGUCUUUUUCAUGAGCGGUACAGAACAGGUUUUAGGGCUCAAUAACCACAGAAGCACAGAGGACUGCAGGGGAGAAUUGCUUCCCUGGCUCCUGCUGGCUUUGACCACAAGCAGGAAGCAAGAAGGUCAUAAGAGCUGCUACUACAGGAUCAUCAUGUCUUGCUAAGAGCUUUCCUAAAUUUCAUUUUUCUCAUGUUUUCUUUAAGAUGGUUUGGCUUGUGCAACAGGCUUUACACUUGAAGAUGCACCAGUUUCAGGUUUGUUUCCACAAAGCUUUUAACAUGUGAAAAGGAAAGAAUAUUCAUUCCAGCUUCACCCCACCCUCCACAGGAAUAAUGCCUCUGGUUCUUGUGGAACCCUGGAAUUUUGCAUUUCUAUGUCAGCUAGCCUUCCCAGCCCACAGUCCCUGAGGACUGAGGUUCACCCAGCGUACAGCAGAAAAUCUUUUGCAAGCAGGUUGCAACAUUUCGUUUCACUGUGAUCCACGUAUCCACUGCCUCAAUGUUAGUCUGCAAUUCACAAUUUUAUCUUGACUUUAAAGUUUCAAAGUGAGCAGCAUUUUUGUUUAGAAGAUACUGUUUUCUCUGGUAUUUGUUACAAUCGUCUGUGCUUCGAGUAUGUCAGGAGCCUAGUCAGCUGCUGGCACAACCAGGGCUUGUUUUUCUUCUUUUUAUCCCUUUCAUCCACUGGAAAAGUUUCCUGCUGCUCUCCUACUGAUAUUUGAUAUCCUGUCUCCAACUGACGUACGUCUUUAACUUUUAAAGAACAGCAUGUCAACUAGCUCUGUUAAUUAUCACUCAUUCUGGAUUUGUUGUGUUCUGUUUUUUUUUUUGUUUUGUUUUUGUUUCUUAUUACAUUGCAAGAUUAUUCUGGAGGUGUAACUUCUCAGGGGAAUGACUAGUUCUGAUCCAACUCCCUCUUCUGUAAUUAUUAAAAAAAAAAAAGAAAAAGAAAAAGAAAAAAAGAAAAAGAAUCACUUUCCCAGGCUUUGCAACAAUGUAUUUAUUUAAUCUACAGAACUAAAGGAAUGCUUAGAGUAAGCAAAGCAGUCAGUCAGCAGCUUUUCUGAAUGUCUGAAACAAGUAGCAUUGUAAUGCAAAAAAGGAGAGAUUUUUUGAGUUUCUCUUGGUUUACAUUCUAAUAGCUUUUCCUGAUAACCAUCUUUCCUCUUCUUUCACGAGAAAGCACCACCAGCAACUACCUACAUUGGAAAGAAACAGUGGGAAGCCAUUACUAUGCAGUUAUUGAUAAUGUAAUCAAAUGUAUCACUAGAAACCAUGCUAAAAGCUG